rnacentral:rRNA from 1 species
CCGCGGUAUCCUGACCGUGCAAAGGUAGCAUAAUCACUUGCCUAUUAAUUGUAGGCUAGAAUGAAAGGACAAACGAGAAUACACCUGUCUCCUUUAAGUCCUUAAAAAUUUAUCUUUAAGUGAAGAAGCUUAAAUUUCUAUGCAGGACAAGAAGACCCUAUAGAGCUUUACCUAAAAUCUACAUAAAUAGUAGCUAGCGGUUCGGUUGGGGCGACCGGGGGACAUUCAUCACCCCCAAACUAAAAGAUAUACCUAUCCCACCAAAGAUCCUUACUCAAGAUCAAAGAAUCAAGCUACCUUAGGGAUAACAGGCUAAUCCUCUUAGAGAGCCCUUAUCGACAAGAGGGGUUGGCACCUCGAUGUUGGCUU